GACGAACGCUGGCGGCGUGCUUAACACAUGCAAGUCGAGCGGUAAGGCCCUUCGGGGUACACGAGCGGCGAACGGGUGAGUAACACGUGGGUGACCUGCCCUUAGCUCUGGGAUAAGCCUGGGAAACUGGGUCUAAUACCGGAUAUGACCUCAUGACGCAUGUUGUGGGGUGGAAAGCCUUGUGCGGCUAGGGAUGGGCCCGCGGCCUAUCAGCUUGUUGGUGGGGUGAUGGCCUACCAAGGCGACGACGGGUAGCCGGCCUGAGAGGGCGACCGGCCACACUGGGACUGAGACACGGCCCAGACUCCUACGGGAGGCAGCAGUGGGGAAUCUUGCGCAAUGGGCGAAAGCCUGACGCAGCGACGCCGCGUGAGGGAUGACGGCCUGGUGUAA
rnacentral:rRNA from 1 species